GUGAGAUAGUAGUUGGCUCCGGAAUCUACAGUCCGAGCUUGCACUGGUGGAAUUUGCCUGUUGAGGCAAAGUUCCACACUGGUUGGCGAUUGGUGUUAGUGGAGGAUGACUGUUUCGUGGAAGGACAUUGACGGGCAUACUGACCUUGGCCUAAGCAAUUGUGACAAAUAAGCGUGCUGAGAUUUUGAGUAGAGGAAUUGGUACUGUUGUGAUGGCCGCGCCCUCACUCUGCCACGACCUCUAGGGAUGGACUCUCGUUCGUG
rnacentral:misc_RNA from 1 species